AUGAGUUACGUGACUAGACGCUCCGGGAAGGUUACCAGGCAACGUUAGCAUGAGCUAAGAAAUAACUACGAGCUAAGCCUUCGCUAUAGUAGGAUACAGGUCGCGUUUAGUUUACUUAUAACGUAAAAAGAGUCUUUUAAAUGCUUUUAAAAUUGGUUAUUAGACAGCUGUGGCUUUAUAAAUCGCAAUCGAGGUAUAUUUGAGAAUGAUAAAGCAGUUUCACGAAGGAACGCAGAGUGGGCGGAGUCAUGACGUGGAGUCAAGUGGGUGAUUUUUUAAUUAAAUGGGCUUCCAUAUGAAAACAUGAGAUGUGAUGGAGGGAAACCUUUUGGGAGAAACAUCUUAAAUGAGGCUUAAGAACUUCAUUAAGCUUCGUCAGGAGCGAUAUAGAGCAGCAUCUGAACAAUGAAAUGUGAUUCUGCCAUUCAGACCUGGCCAAACAUCAGCACUAAAGCAGACUGAGCUCUCUGCAAGGAUGUCUAGAAGCUGAAGCAAGGCAGGGUGCACAUGACUUUAACACCGCCAGCGUAAACACUGAUGUCACAUCCUAAAAAUCAACAUAGUGUGGCGGGAAUAUUUGGCAGCUAAACUGUAUCCUGCACAGCUGACAGCAUCAGCACUGGCUAAAUAUUGACCUAAAGUUAUCAGCACUGCAUGGCAAGCAAAUACAAAAACAGAAGAAACCCAAGUAAGCAGAACAGAUGCCUUCUCACUCAGUCAGGUUUCGUUACCUAUUUUCUGCAGAAUUGCAACUAGAGUACAACAAGAUAGACUAGG
ensembl:lncRNA